UUUUUUAUCCAUCCUCUUAUAUUUUAACUUUCUUCUUCAAGAUGACUUUUGAAGAUGUUUUCCCUGCUGAGGCAACAAUCGUGGAAGAGUAUCUGCAAUAGAAUGUUACAGGUGAACUAUGAAGCAAAUGGUUGGGUUGCACAUCAGGUGUCAGAUAUAUGGGCAAAAACAUCUCCUGACUGAGGUCAGGCUGUUUGGGCUUUAUGGCAAAUGGGUGGAGCAUGGCUUUGUACUCAUCUAUGGGAGGAUUAUACUUGUACUAUGGACAAAGUAAGAUUUGCUUAUGCUUAUAAUGGGAGCAUUAUACUUAUACUUGCUGGGCUAUUGCUGUUGUAAUGUUGCUGUGAGGCAGCUGCUACUAGAUUUUGGUCUGCUGGAUAAGUUUGUGGGUGAUUUUCAUGCCGUUUUGCCUGUCUUUGUUAGUUUCAUGUUUUCAUUUUGUUAUCUGUUGUUUCUAAUGUGGGUUCACAAUUUGGAUGUAUUUGGGCAUUUUAAUGACUUUACCGUUUUAGGUUUUAUACAUUGCUUUUAAAAGCAGUA